rnacentral:rRNA from 1 species
AUUGAACGCUGGCGGCAGGCCUAACACAUGCAAGUCGAGCGGCAGCGCGGGGCAACCUGGCGGCGAGCGGCGAACGGGUGAGUAAUACAUGGGAAUCUGCCUGGUAGUGGGGGAUAACUCUGGGAAACUAGAGGUAAUACCGCAUACGUCCUACGGGAGAAAGCGGGGGAUCUUCGGACCUCGCGCUAUCAGAGGAGCCCAUGUCCGAUUAGCUAGUUGGUGAGGUAAAGGCUCACCAAGGCGACGAUCGGUAACUGGUCUGAGAGGAUGGUCAGUCACACUGGAACUGAGACACGGUCCAGACUCCUACGGGAGGCAGCAGUGGGAAUAUUGGACAAUGGGGGCAACCCUGAUCCAGCCAUGCCGCGUGUGUGAAGAAGGCCUUCGGGUUG